rnacentral:rRNA from 1 species
GGGGUUCUGAGAGGAAGGUCCCCCACAUUGGAACUGAGACACGGUCCAAACUCCUACGGGAGGCAGCAGUGAGGAAUAUUGGUCAAUGGACGAGAGUCUGAACCAGCCAAGUAGCGUGAAGGAUGACUGCCCUAUGGGUUGUAAACUUCUUUUAUACGGGAAUAAAGUGAGGCACGCGUGCCUUUUUGUAUGUACCGUAUGAAUAAGGAUCGGCUAACUCCGUGCCAGCAGCCGCGGUAAUACGGAGGAUCCGAGCGUUAUCCGGAUUUAUUGGGUUUAAAGGGAGCGUAGGCGGACGCUUAAGUCAGUUGUGAAAGUUUGCGGCUCAACCGUAAAAUUGCAGUUGAUACUGGGUGUCUUGAGUACAGUAGAGGCAGGCGGAAUUCGUGGUGUAGCGGUGAAAUGCUUAGAUAUCACGAAGAACUCCGAUUGCGAAGGCAGCCUGCUGGACUGUAACUGACGCUGAUGCUCGAAAGUGUGGGUAUCAAACAGGAUUAGAUACCCUGGUAGUCCACACAGUAAACGAUGAAUACUCGCUGUUUGCGAUAUACAGUAAGCGGCCAAGCGAAAGCGUUAAGUAUUCCACCUGGGGAGUACGCCGGCAACGGUGAAACUCAAAGGAAUUGACGGGGGCCCGCACAAGCGGAGGAACAUGUGGUUUAAUUCGAUGAUACGCGAGGAACCUUACCCGGGCUUGAAUUGCAACUGAAUGAUGUGGAGACAUGUCAGCCGCAAGGCAGUUGUGAAGGUGCUGCAUGGUUGUCGUCAGCUCGUGCCGUGAGGUGUCGGCUUAAGUGCCAUAACGAGCGCAACCCUUAUCGAUAGUUACCAUCAGGUUAUGCUGGGGACUCUGUCGAGACUGCCGUCGUAAGAUGUGAGGAAGGUGGGGAUGACGUCAAAUCAGCA